rnacentral:rRNA from 1 species
UACGUAGGGGGCGAGCGUUGUCCGGAUUUAUUGGGCGUAAAGGGCGUGUAGGCGGCCAGGUAGGUCCGUUGUGAAAACUGGAGGCUUAACCUCCAGACGUCGACGGAAACCGUGUGGCUAGAGUCCGGAAGAGGAGAGUGGAAUUCCUGGUGUAGCGGUGAAAUGCGCAGAUAUCAGGAAGAACACCAAUGGCGAAGGCAGCUCUCUGGGACGGUACUGACGCUGAGACGCGAAAGCGUGGGGAGCGAACAGG